GGAGAGAUGGCCGAGAGGUUGAAGGCGGCACCCUGCUAAGGUGUUAUAUCCGUUUAGGGUAUCGAGGGUUCGAAUCCCUCUCUCUCCGCCA
rnacentral:tRNA from 1 species